rnacentral:rRNA from 1 species
CCUACGGGAGGCAGCAGUGAGGAAUAUUGGUCAAUGGACGCAAGUCUGACCCAGCCACGUAGCGUGCAGGAUGACGGCCCUCCGGGUUGUAAACUGCUUUUAGUUGGGAAUAAAGUGGGGCUCGUGAUCCCCGUAUUGUAUGUACCAUCAGAAAAAGAACCAGCUAAUUCCGUGCCAGCAGCCGCGGUAAUACGGAAGGUCCGGGCGUUAUCCGGAUUUAUUGGGUUUAAAGGGCGCGUAGGCGGGCUUUUAAGUCCGCUGUGAAAGUCCGCGGCUCAACCUUGGAAUUGCAGUUGAAACUGGAGGACUUGAGUGUACACAGGGAUGGUGGAAUUCAUGGUGUAGCGGUGAAAUGCUUAGAUAUCAUGAAGAACUCCGAUGGCGAAGGCAAGUGUCCGGGGUGCAACUGACGCUGAGGCGCGAAAGCGCGGGUAUCAAACAGGAUUAGAUACCCGAGUAGUC